UCUCAUGCAAGAAUGCUAAAGCUCUGCUUGCUUCCACUUUCUUCAAAACACAUCUCAAAUGACAAAUGGCAAAUCGAUAAAGGUAUUUCUGCCAAGAAACAAAGAAGCUGACAAAGCUAGGCACAAAAUGAACAAG
rnacentral:lncRNA from 12 species